GGGCCCGCACAAGCGGUGGAGCAUGUGGUUUAAUUCGAUGAUACGCGAGGAACCUUACCAGGGCUUAAAUGUAAGUUGCAUGGAUCAGAGAUGAUCCUUUCUUCGGACCACUUACAAGGUGCUGCAUGGUUGUCGUCAGCUCGUGCCGUGAGGUGUCAGGUUAAGUCCUAUAACGAGCGCAACCCCUAUCGUUAGUUGCCAGCAAGUAAAGUUGGGUACUCUAGCGAGACUGCCGGUGCAAACCGAGAGGAAGGUGGGGAUGACGUCAAAUCAUCACGGCCCUUACGUCCUGGGCUACACACGUGCUACAAUGGCCGGUACAGAGAGCAGCCACCACGCGAGUGGGAGCGAAUCUUCAAAACCGGUCUCAGUUCGGAUCGCAGUCUGCAACUCGACUGCGUG
rnacentral:rRNA from 1 species